CUUUACUGUCAGUUGGAAUUUUAUAUGAAUGUGUAUAUACGAACUAGAACCUUGUACCGUUAUUCUUUGUCAGAUAUCAGAUUUGUGUUUUUAUUUCUUUAAGAAAAGCAACGAUGUUGCGAAGGAGCGAGAUGUUUUUAGUUGAGAAAAUAUGAUAACCAGUACGCAGAGUAAUCGUGCCCUGCCAAGAGUCGGUUUAGGGUUCGGAUUUCUAUGUUGCUAAGCUUUAGUCCUGUAUACCAGGGUUUCACAGGAAUCACAUUCUGAAACUGAAAAUAUUUCCGGCCUUUUCCAUGGAUAGCUGCAUAUUCCAGAUAUUUUGCUGCGUUAAUGCUGAUUUCGCCAAUAGGUCUGCUGUUUCAUUACCGUUUGUUCCAGCGUGGCCUGGAAUCCACUGCAAUGUUGUACCGGUCUGAGCGGCCAUAGCUAGCAGUCUUUCGAUCGUCUCAUCUCGUUGGCGUGUCUUGAUGUUCAGUUUGGUAUAUUCUAAACCGGACUAUGAGUCAGUCAUUAUGACUGCGUUUUAAUUCCGGAUCGUGACAGAUAUUGAAGAGCUACGUAGAUGGCCUCCAGUUCAGCGGACAUGAUACAUACAAAGUUUUUUAAUUUCAGGCUGAGAUGAAAGUUUGAAGCUUCAUCAUAUAUUCCGAUACCACAGGACUCCCAGUUUCGGGACGCAUCUGUGAAGACGAUACGUCUUCCUGCAUACCUGCCAUGAAUUAAAGAUAACGUUAUUUGUUUCAGCACUCUAUUGUUAGUUAAUUUCUUUUUCCAUUCGCCUCCAGGUAGCUCUGUUUCAAUUGUGACUUCAUCCCAUUGAUUUGUACUUACGAUGGAUGGUGUUGUUGAAUUUAGAAUCGAUUCGUGCUUUAAGGCAAUUUGCUGAAUAAAACUGUGAUUCUUUGUUUGCUCCGAUGCCGUGUCAAUUUGUUGUUUGACUGUAGAAUUUCUAUGGUAGUGUUUAGCCAGCUGUUUGCCAGUGUUGAAGAGUCGGCGAAAUUCUAGUGGGAAUUGUCCCGCAAUUGCGUAUAGUGUGUUGAUCGGUGUAGUUUUGGUACAUCCAGUAAUUUUGCGAAGGCACUGGUUGUUUAGAACGUUAAUCUUGUCCAAAUUCGUUUUACAGGCGAUUCCGUACAGUGUUGAACCGUAAUCCAAGCAGCUCCUAAAUAAUACAUUGUAUACCAUAC